UACAGAGCAGUGCAGUCCGUUCCAGUACAUCAACAGCUGUUUUCAGUGGCAGAGUUUCCAGAGGAGUCUCAUAGCCUUCCUGAUAUUCCUGCUGGCGGUGUGGCAUUGGGAGUUCUACAUGUUGCCUCUCUGUCUGGUUCUGCUCAUCACAUGGAACUAUCUUCAGAUUGCAUCUGGACGGGCCAACCAGGACCUGGAUAAUAUGGACUUGGGCGAUGAAGAUGAUGAAGAUGAAAAGG